rnacentral:lncRNA from 1 species
GCUUCCGAACAACAUGAUACGAAACCCAGCAAUUUUUUUUAUUUUUUUUUUUGAUAUUUUUAUUUUAGUUAGGAGCACCGUAGGAGUAACCACAGAGAAUUUGAGCUUAAACAAGUUUAAGACAUGGCCUGCGGAAUUUUUUGAAGAUUGUGAAAAAUGUGAAAAAAAACUUCACGAGGUGAAAACUCAAACUUUGGAGGUGAAUUUUGAGGUUCAAAAAUUUUCAAACCCGCCAAUGGAGGGGACAGACAGAUCCAAAAAAAAAUUUUGGAUCGAUUUGAUAUAUGGAACGUUGAAAUCAAAGUUCGUAUGCGAAAGUUAUGGCUAUUUUACGAACGGACUACGAAUUAGAGGACAAAACAGUCUGAAAGUGGGAAAAAUUUGCGGUGGUGGCUAAAAAUUGAUGGAAACGGUAGGGAAAAUACACACGAACUGGACUCUAAUAAGAUCUAACCAGCAACAAGACCUCAACAAGAACACAAACUCAACACUGCGGACUCUGAAACUAAAAUAUGCAAAGGCUAUGGCGCGAAAGGGUUGUAGGACACGAAAACGAAAAAGCACUGGACUUAUGGUACGAACACAAGAACACUCGAAACUAAGGGUUGAUGUGAACCUAACGAUAUACCUAAUGCUUUUAUUACCACUUGAUGAGAACAAGGGUGACCUGAUCUUCAAAAAGGUUCUGGUAUCUCUCUAUUUGGUGCAGACGAGACACAAAUCGAUCCGGCUUCCGAACAACAUGAUACGAAACCUUGCAAUUUUUUUUAUUUUUUUAAUAUUUUGCUUUUAGUUAGGAGCACCGUAGGAGUAACCACAGAAAAUUUGAGCUUAAACAAGUGAAAGACAUGGCCUACGGAAUUUUUUGAAGAUUGUGAAAAAUGUGAAAAAAACAUCAUGAGGUGAAAACUCAAACUUUGGAGAUGAAUUUUCAGGUUCUAAAAUUUUCAAACCCGCCAAUGGAGGGGACAGACAGAUCCAAAAAGAAUUUUGUAUCAAUUUUCAUAUAUGGAACGUUGAAAUCGGAGUUCAUAUGUGAAAGUUAUGGCUAUUUUACGAACGGACUACGAAUUAGAGGACAAAACAGUCCGAAAGUGGGAAAAAUUUGCGGCGGUGGCUAGAAAUUGAUGGAAACGGUGGUGAAAAACACACGAACUGGACUCUAACAAAGACCUCGACUAGGACACAAACUCAACACUGCGGACUCUGAAACUGAAAUAUGCAAAGGCUAUGGCGCGGAAGGGUUGUAGGACAGGAAAAUGAUAUGGUACUGGACUUAUGGGACGAACACAAGAACACUCCAAACUAAGGGUAGAUGUGAACCUAAUGUUAUACCUAAAGCUCUGAUUACCACUUGAUGAGAACAAGGGUGGCCCGAUCUUCUGAAAGGUUCUACUAACUCUCGAUUUGGUGGAGACGAGACACAAAUCGAUCCGGCUUCCGAACAACAUGAUCCGAAACCCUACAUUUUUUUUAUUUUUUUGAUGUUUUUCUUUUAGUUAGGAGCACCAAAGAAGUAACCACAUAAAAUUUGAGCUUAAACAAGUGAAAGACAUGGCCUGUGGAAUUAUCUGAAGAUUGUGAAAAAUGUGAAAAAACUUCACGAGGCGAAAACUCAAACUUUGGAGGUGAAUUUGCAGGUUCUAAAAUUUUCAAACCCACCAAAAGCUAGGACACACAGAUCCAAAAUUUUUUUCUGAUCGAUUUUGAUAUAUGGAACGUUAAAAUCGGAGUUCGUAUGUGAAAGUUAUGACUAUUUUACGAACGGACUCCGAAUUAGAGGAAAAAACGGUCUGAAAGUGGGAAAAAUUUGCGGUGGUGGCUAGAAAUUGAUGGAAACGGUGGGGAAAAGCACACGAACUGGACUCUAAUAAGACCUAACCAGUAACAAGACCUCAACAAGAACACAAACUCAACACUGCAGACUCUGAAACUGAAAUAUGCAAAGGCCAUGGCGCGAAAGGGUUAGGACACGAAAACGAAAUAGCACUGGACUUAUGGUACGAACAGAAUAACACUCAAAACUAAGGGUAGAUGUGAACCUAACGGUAUACCUAAUGCUUAUAUUACCACUUGAUGAGAAGAAGCGUGACCUGAUCUUCCAAAAGGUUCUGGUAUCUAUCGAUUUGGUGCAGACGAGACACAAAUCGAUCCGGCUUCCGAACAACAUGAUACGAAACCCUGCAAUUUUUUUUAUUUUUUUUGAUAUUUUUAUUUUAGUUAGGAGGACCGUAGGAGUAACCACAGAGAAUUUGAGCUUAAACAAGUUUAAGACAUGGCCUGCGGAAUUUUUUGAAGAUUGUGAAAAAUGUGAAAAAAAACUUCACGAGGUGAAAACUCAAACUUUGGAGGUGAAUUUUGAGGUUCAAAAAUUUUCAAACCCGCCAAUGGAGGGGACAGACAAAUCCAAAAAAAAUUUUUGGAUCGAUUUGAUAUAUGGAACGUUGAAAUCAAAGUUCGUAUGCGAAAGUUAUGGCUAUUUUACGAACGGACUACGAAUUAGAGGACAAAACAGUCUGAAAGUGGGAAAAAUUUGCGGUGGUGGCUAAAAAUUGAUGGAAACGGUAGGGAAAAUACACACGAACUGGACUCUAAUAAGACCUAACCAGCAACAAGACCUCAACAAGAACACAAACUCAACACUGCGGACUCUGAAACUAAAAUAUGCAAAGGCUAUGGCGCGAAAGGGUUGUAGGACACGAAAACGAAAAAGCACUGGACUUAUGGUACGAACACAAGAACACUCGAAACUAAGGGUUGAUGUGAACCUAACGAUAUACCUAAUGCUUUUAUUACCACUUGAUGAGAACAAGGGUGACCUGAUCUUCAAAAAGGUUCUGGUAUCUCUCUAUUUGGUGCAGACGAGACACAAAUCGAUCCGACUUCCGAACAACAUGAUACGAAACCUUGCAAUUUUUUUAUUUUUUUAAUAUUUUGCUUUUAGUUAGGAGCACCGUAGGAGUAACCACAGAAAAUUUGAGCUUAAACAAGUGAAAGACAUGGCCUACGGAAUUUUUUGAAGAUUGUGAAAAAUGUGAAAAAAACAUCACGAGGUGAAAACUCAAACUUUGGAGAUGAAUUUUCAGGUUCUAAAAUUUUCAAACCCGCCAAUGGAGGGGACAGACAGAUCCAAAAAGAAUUUUGGAUCAAUUUUCAUAUAUGGAACGUUGAAAUCGGAGUUCAUAUGUGAAAGUUACGGCUAUUUUAUGAACGGACUACGAAUUAGAGGACAAAACAGUCCGAAAGUGGGAAAAAUUUGCGGCGGUGGCUAGAAAUUGAUGGAAACGGUGGCGAAAAACACACGAACUGGACUCUAACAAAGACCUCGACUAGGACACAAACUCAACACUGCGGACUCUGAAACUGAAAUAUGCAAAGGCUAUGGCGCGGAAGGGUUGUAGGACAGGAAAAUGAUAUGGUACUGGACUUAUGGGACGAACACAAGAACACUCCAAACUAAGGGUAGAUGUGAACCUAAUGUUAUACCUAAAGCUCUGAUUACCACUUGAUGAGAACAAGGGUGGCCCGAUCUUCUGAAAGGUUCUACUAACUCUCGAUUUGGUGGAGACGAGACACAAAUCGAUCCGGCUUCCGAACAACAUGAUCCGAAACCCUACAUUUUUUUUAUUUUUUUGAUGUUUUUCUUUUAGUUAGGAGCACCAAAGAAGUAACCACAUAAAAUUUGAGCUUAAACAAGUGAAAGACAUGGCCUGUGGAAUUAUCUGAAGAUUGUGAAAAAUGUGAAAAAACUUCACGAGGCGAAAACUCAAACUUUGGAGGUGAAUUUGCAGGUUCUAAAAUUUUCAAACCCACCAAAAGCUAGGACACACAGAUCCAAAAUUUUUUUCUGAUCGAUUUUGAUAUGUGGAAUGUUAAAAUCGGAGUUCGUAUGUGAAAGUUAUGGCUAUUUUACGAACGGACUCCGAAUUAGAGGACAAAACGGUCUGAAAGUGGGAAAAAUUUGCGGUGGUGGCUAGAAAUUGAUGGAAACGGUGGGGAAAAACACACGAACUGGACUCUAACUAGACCUAACCAGCAACAGGACCUCAACAAGAACACAAACUCAAAACUGCGGACUCUGAAACUGAAAUAUGCAAAGGCUAUGGCGCGAAAGGGUUAGGACACGAAAACGAAAUAGCACUGGACUUAUGGUACGAACAGAAUAACACUCAAAACUAAGGGUAGAUGUGAACCUAACGGUAUACCUAAUGCUUUUAUUACCACUUGAUGAGAACAAGGGUGACCUGAUCUUCCAAAAGGUUCUGGUAUCUAUCGAUUUGGUGCAGACGAGACACAAAUCGAUCCGGCUUCCGAACAUCAUGAUACGAAACCCUGCAAUUUUUUUUAUUUCUUUUGAUAUUUUUAUUUUAGUUAGGAGCACCGUAGGAGUAACCACAGAGAAUUUGAGCUUAAACAAGUUUAAGACAUGGCCUGCGGAAUUUUUUGAAGAUUGUGAAAAAUGUGAAAAAAAACUUCACGAGGUGAAAACUCAAACUUUGGAGGUGAAUUUUGAGGUUCAAAAAUUUUCAAACCCGCCAAUGGAGGGGACAGACAGAUCCAAAAAAAAUUUUUGGAUCGAUUUGAUAUAUGGAACGUUGAAAUCAAAGUUCGUAUGCGAAAGUUAUGGCUAUUUUACGAACGGACUACGAAUUAAAGGACAAAACAGUCUGAAAGUGGGAAAAAUUUGCGGUGGUGGCUAAAAAUUGAUGGAAACGGUAGGGAAAAAACACACGAACUGGACUCUAAUAAGACCUAACCAGCAACAAGACCUCAACAAGAACACAAACUCAACACUGCGGACUCUGAAACUGAAAUAUGCAAAGGCUAUGGCGCGAAAGGGUUGUAGGAUACGAAAACGAAAAAGCACAGGACUUAUGGUACGAACACAAGAACACUCGAAACUAAGGGUUGAUGUGAACCUAACGAUAUACCUAAUGCUUUUAUUACCACUUGAUGAGAACAAGGGUGACCUGAUCUUCAAAAAGGUUCUGGUAUCUCUCUAUUUGGUGCAGACGAGACACAAUUCGAUCCGGCUUCCGAACAACAUGAUACGAAACCUUGCAAUUUUUUUUAUUUUUUUAAUAUUUUGCUUUUAGUUAGGAGCACCGUAGGAGUAACCACAAAAAAUUUGAGCUUAAACAAGUGAAAGACAUGGCCUAUGGAAUUUUUUGAAGAUUGUGAAAAAUGUGAAAAAAACAUCACGAGGUAAAAACUCAAACUUUGGAGAUGAAUUUUCAGG